UACGUAGGGCGCAAGCGUUGUCCGGAAUCAUUGGGCGUAAAGAGCUCGUAGGCGGCCUGUUGCGUCCGCUGUGAAAUCCCGGGGCUCAACCCCGGGCCUGCAGUGGAUACGGGCUGGCUGGAGGCAGGCAGGGGAGAACGGAAUUCCUGGUGUAGCGGUGAAAUGCGCAGAUAUCAGGAGGAACACCAAUGGCGAAGGCAGCUCGCUGGGACGUGACUGACGCUGAGACGCGAAAGCGUGGGGAGCAAACAGG
rnacentral:rRNA from 1 species